ACGAGCCUCGUCCUGCUCCCCUGCCCCCCACCAACCACCUUCCCCUGCUCCCGAAACCUUAGAGUAGGAGGGCCUUCCGUGUCUCGGGGACCCCUGCCCUGGAGUCAGUUGGAGUCACCUGGGGAAUUUUACAAACUAGAAUUCUGGCUCCCAACCUGACCCUGCUGGACCGUGGACCAGAAACAUCAGCACCGUCAGUGAACUUAGAACCCGUUAGUGAACUUAGAACCCAACACCUACGGCAUUCAUUAGAGUUCUGGAGUGACUCCCAGGGAAUGUGCCUAUGGACAACCUCUUCCGGGUUUCCCCUGAAUCCGCGAAUUUGAGAAGAGCAGCCCAGACUAAUUGAAUCUGUCUUGGGAUUACAGCGCUCUCUGCUAGCACUGUGAGAAACAAAGUCCUGGAAGCAGAGGCCCAGCCCGGAGAUAAUAGGAAAGCACCCUCCCAGAGGCUCCGGAGUGAGAAAGCUUCUCCUUCACACCACCUCUGCCACCCCAAAGUCCUGGCACUGCCAGCUUCAGUGAGCAGAUUCUCCCCGCUAAGGUCACUCCUUGGGGCCACUAUAGCUGCUCUCAAGAUGCCUGCUCACUGUCGUCCCAAUCUUGGUUUUAAAAAGGGAAACUAGAGGCCCCAAGCCCCCUUUCUUCAGUAGACGGGUUUCAAUUAAAAGAGAACCAGAGAGGCAAAGUGCAUUGGCACUUGGUGGCACGUGCCUAUAACCGCAGCACUUGGGAAGCAGAAACAAGAGGGUCUCCACAAGUUCGAGACCAACCUCGUCUACACAAUGUCUCUGUGAUGGAGUGUCCAAUAGAAGCCAACCAAGCCAGUGAUCUCCCAUCCCUCCUCCCAGCCCUUACUUAGAAUAAAGUUAAAUUCUUCCU